UUCUGAGAUCUGGCCUUUUUCCUUUUCCCCUUUUUUGAGUGCACACGCACUCCAUCUUGUGUCCAGCUCUCGUCCUCCUCUUGUGUAGACAUACUUCCCAAGGAAGGAGACAUCAAACACCUGUGCAAAUUGUAUGUUAAGGGGUGGAGAUGAUACCCACUCCCCCAUGAAAGUACUUUUGGAAAGAGGAAAAGAAGAGGAACAGCCUUUCUUUCUCUUUCUCUCUCACCAUACUCAGAUCUUGUUUCUUUUAGCUUAUUCAACUCGAGGAGAACUCAAACUUAAGGAUAGCUGCUCUAGAUCAUCCUACAUCAUAUCCUUUUUGUAGUCUAAAUUAGAUUAUC
rnacentral:lncRNA from 1 species